rnacentral:rRNA from 1 species
UAUUUUGGAAGAGAUGCAUUUAUUAGAUAAAAAACCAAUGCAUACUUUUUCAAGUAUGAAAUUUGGUGAUUUACAAUAACUUAGCAAAUCGCAUAGUGAAAACAGGCGAUAAAUCAUUCAAGUUUCUGACCUAUCAGCUUUCGACGGUAUGGUAUUGGCUUACCGUGGCAGUGACGGUUAACGGGGGAUUAGGGUUCGAUUCCGGAGAGGGAGCCUGAGAAACGGCUACCACAUCUAAGGAAGGCAGCAGGCGCGCAAAUUACCCAAUUCUAACAGCAUAAGAGAGGUAGUGACAAGAAAUAACAAUACAAGGCAGUUAAAAUGCUUUGUAAUUGGAAUGAUAGAAAUUUAAACACUUUUUAAAGUAUCAAUUGGAGGGCAAGUCUGGUGCCAGCAGCCGCGGUAAUUCCAGCUCCAAUAGCGUAUAUUAAAAUUGUUGCAGUUAAAAAGCUCGUAGUUGAAUUUCUGUUAAAAAUAACCGGUCUGCUUUUAAUAAAAGUGGUAUCUUGGUGUGUUUUUAGCAAUAAUGUCCUUUGAAAUGUUUUUUACUUUAUUGUAAUAAAUAAUAGUCAGGGUUUUUACUUUGAGAAAAUUAGAGUGUUUCUAGCAGGCUAACGCUUUGAAUACUGCAGCAUGGAAUAAUAAAAUAGGAUUUUAGUUCUACAUUAUUGGUUUUAAGAACUAAAUUAAUGAUUGAUAGGGACAGUUGGGGGCAUUUGUAUUUAACUGUCAGAGGUGAAAUUCUUAGAUUUGUUAAAGACAAACUACUGCGAAAGCAUUUGCCAAAGAUGUUUUCAUUAAUCAAGAAC